AAAUAUACGUUUCUGCACCACAAACAAGAAUCAUAUCACAAGCCAUUUCAUCAAGCUUUGGUGCUUCAUCAACGCAAGGAUUGAUCAAAGGGUUGUUAUCCCAUUAUUAGAUGGGCAAACAAAUUCCCAUCAUUUAUCCACCAUUGCUUUUCUUGGAUCUUGAACUUCUAUACCAAUAGGUUUUCUCCACAGAAAUAUGGACUAAUCAUGCAUUCCAGAUAACUUCAUUCCUAAAGCUUCGUAUGAUGUUUCAACUUUGACUUCCAGUAAUGUGAGGUGAGGACCUAGAGCUUCGUCUGAUUUUCAAUAAUG
rnacentral:lncRNA from 1 species